UGGGGAAUUUUGGACAAUGGGCGAAAGCCUGGUCCAGCAAUGCCGCGUGUGUGAAGAAGGCCUUCGGGUUGUAAAGCACUUUUGUCCGGAAAGAAAUCCUUGGCUCUAAUACAGUCGGGGGAUGACGGUACCGGAAGAAUAAGCACCGGCUAACUACGUGCCAGCAGCCGCGGUAAUACGUAGGGUGCAAGCGUUAAUCGGAAUUACUGGGCGUAAAGCGUGCGCAGGCGGUUUGCUAAGACCGAUGUGAAAUCCCCGGGCUCAACCUGGGAACUGCAUUGGUGACUGGCAGGCUAGAGUAUGGCAGAGGGGGGUAGAAUUCCACGUGUAGCAGUGAAAUGCGUAGAGAUGUGGAGGAAUACCGAUGGCGAAGGCAGCCCCCUGGGCCAAUACUGACGCUCAUGCACGAAAGCGUGGGGAGCAAACAGGAUUAGAUACCCUGGUAGUCCACGCCCUAAACGAUGUCAACUAGUUGUGGGGAUUCAUUCCUUAGUAACGUAGCUAACGCGUGAAGUUGACCGCCUGGGGAGUACGGUCGCAAGAUUAAAACUCAAAUGAAUUGACGGGGUCAUAGCUGUUUCCU
rnacentral:rRNA from 1 species